rnacentral:rRNA from 1 species
AUUGAACGCUGGCGGCGUGCUUAACACAUGCAAGUCGAUCGGUAACAGGUGUAGCAAUACAUGCUGACGAGAGGCGGACGGGUGAGUAAUGCUUGGGAAUCUGCCUAUUAGUGGGGGACAACCCGGGGAAACUCGGGCUAAUACCGCAUACGCUCUACGGAGGAAAGCCGGGGACCGCAAGGCCUGGCGCUAAUAGAUGAGCCCAAGUCGGAUUAGCUAGUUGGUAGGGUAACGGCCUACCAAGGCGACAAUCCGUAGCUGGUCUGAGAGGACGACCAGCCACACCGGAACUGAGACACGGUCCGGACUCCUACGGGAGGCAGCAGUGGGGAAUAUUGGACAAUGGGGGGCAACCCUGAUCCAGCGACGCCGCGUGGGUGAAGAAGGCCUGCGGGUUGUAAAGCCCUUUCGGUGGGGAAGAAAAGUCUCGACCUAAUACGUCGGGACCUUGACGUAACCCACUAAAGAAGCACCGGCUAACUCUGUGCCAGCAG